UACAGAGGUCCCAAGCGUUGUUCGGAUUCACUGGGCGUAAGGGGUGCGUAGGUGGCCAGGUAAGUUUGGUGUGAAAGCUCGGAGCUUAACUCCGAAAAGUCAUUGAAUACUAUCUGGCUGGAGGGUCGGAGGGGAGACUGGAAUUCUCGGUGUAGCAGUGAAAUGCGUAGAUAUCGAGAGGAACACCAGUGGCGAAGGCGAGUCUCUGGACGACUCCUGACACUGAGGCACGAAAGCGAGGGGAGCAAACAGG
rnacentral:rRNA from 1 species